UGGGGAAUAUUGGACAAUGGGGGCAACCCUGAUCCAGCCAUGCCGCGUGAGUGAUGAAGGCCUUCGGGUUGUAAAGCUCUUUUGGCGGGGACGAUGAUGACGGUACCCGCAGAAUAAGCCCCGGCUAACUUCGUGCCAGCAGCCGCGGUAAGACGAAGGGGGCUAGCGUUGUUCGGAAUUACUGGGCGUAAAGCGAGUGUAGGCGGUUGCCGUAGUCAGGUGUGAAAGCCUUGAGCUCAACUCAAGAAAUGCACUUGAUACUGGGUGACUAGAGGACCGGAGAGGAUAGUGGAAUUCCCAGUGUAGUGGUGAAAUACGUAGAGAUUGGGAAGAACACCAGUGGCGAAGGCGGCUAUCUGGACGGUUACUGACGCUAAGACUCGAAAGCGUGGGGAGCAAACAGGAUUAGAUACCCUGGUAGUCCACGCCGUAAACGAUGGGUGCUAGACGUUGGCGAGCUUGCUCGUCAGUGUCGCAGCUAACGCGUUAAGCACCCCGCCUGGGGAGUACGGCCGCAAGGUUGAAACUUAAAUGAAUUGACGGGGUCAUAGCUGUUUCCU
rnacentral:rRNA from 1 species